rnacentral:rRNA from 1 species
GACGAACGCUGGCGGCGUGCCUAAUACAUGCAAGUCGAACGCAGUGGGGACGGGUGAGUAACACGUGGGUAACCUCCCAUCAGAGGGGAUAACACUUGGAAACAGGUGCUAAACCGAUACUGAUGGAUGGACCCGCGGUGCAUUAGCUAGGUGGUGAGGUAACGGCGCACCAAGGCCACGAUGCAUAGCGGACCUGAGAGGGUGAUCCGCCACACUGGGAAGUAGACACGGCCCAGAAUCCUACGGGCGGCAGUAGUCGGGAAUCUUCAUCAAUGGACGAAAGUCUGACCGAGGAACGCCGCGUGAUUGAAGAAUGUUUUCGGGUCGUAAAACUCUGUUGUUAGAGAAGCGGUAUCUAACCAGAAAGCCACGGCUAACUACGUGCCAGCAGCCGCGGUAAUUC